rnacentral:lncRNA from 1 species
CAAAUUUAACCCUCUUUUGACAAUUGUAGUACAAGUAUAAAUAGGGAUCGUUCUGGACCGGGGAUUAGGAGGGCUUGCUAAUAGCCUCUAAACUUACUCAAAAACAUAAAACUAAACUUAAAAACACUUAACAAUACUCAGAAGACUCAAAGCAAACUUACAAUACUCAAAACAGCUUAAAACAACCAAAUAAACUUAAA